AAUUGUUUUUGUUUCUAUAGACAGUGAUUUUCUGAGGAAUAUCCUUGGAUAUCCUGGAAAUUACUCUGUAGUCCAUGCAAGGCUUGAACUCACAGAGAUGCCCACCUGUGCCUCACAAGUGCUGGCAUUAAACUCAUACAACAUAAUUAACAACAAUCUUCAAUAUGUCUUAAAAUAUAUAAUAAGGAUGUUUUUGUACAAAGUGUCCCAGACUUUAAAUUUUGUUAGAUCAUCAUGUAUGGAUAGCUAAUUAUUGGAUGAAUUCGUUCAUCUGUCACCAUGAUAUCAAUGUUCAUCUAUGAUUGUGACUUCUUUUCCAUGGAGACCACAUGGUGGUCUGCAUUUAGAGGUCAUUGACAGUGUAUUGGAAGAAAUGAGAGAAAUGUCUCAGAGACAUGUGAAUGGGCUGUCAUCACAGGAAUCACACCGAAAGAGCAUCUUUUAGUAGCUUUCAGCAUCCAGUGUGUGGUGAGAGAUGAAACUCAUG